CGUUGAAACACUAGUUCCCGUACGAUCACCGAAGUUAAGCCUGGUCAGUAGCUAGAUGGGUGACCAUUUGGGAAUAGCAGGUGCUGUAAGC